rnacentral:rRNA from 1 species
UACGGGGGGAGCGAGCGUUGUUCGGAAUCACUGGGCGUAAAGCGUGCGCAGGCGGAUUGACAAGUCAGAAGUGAAAGCCCAGGGCUCAACCCUGGAACUGCUUUUGAAACUGUCUUUCUAGAGUAUGGUAGAGGUUGGGAGAAUUCCUAGUGUAGAGGUGAAAUUCGUAGAUAUUAGGAGGAAUACCAGUGGCGUAGGCG